UACGUAGGGUGCGAGCGUUGUCCGGAAUUAUUGGGCGUAAAGGGCUCGUAGGCGGUUUGUCACGUCAGGAGUGAAAACUCGGGGCUCAACCCCGAGCCUGCUUCUGAUACGGGCAGACUGGAGGUAUGCAGGGGAGAACGGAAUUCCUGGUGUAGCGGGUGAAAUGACGCAGAUAUCAGGAGGAACACCGGUGGCGAAGGCGGGUCUCUGGGCCGAUAUUGACGCUGAGGAGCGAAAGCGUGGGGAGCGAACAGG
rnacentral:rRNA from 1 species